rnacentral:lncRNA from 1 species
CGCCUGGCUCCAGGGAGGCUGCGGCACUGACUGGUGUGUGCCUGAAGCCCGCUUCUGCACAGGAAGUGACCGCGGGUGGUCCCAAGCCUGCCUCACUCUCUUUCCUGAAACAGAUGCUCUCCAGCAGAUUCCUCUCCGUUUCCUCCUCUAUAGGCGGAGGAGGAGCGAGAGAGUCGUCCUGUCUGCCCCUCUAUGCAGACGGUGAAGCAGAGCCCGAUGUGAAUAGACGGCUGCUGCCCGUAAGUGAAUUCUAUAUUCUAAAAGACGUCGGAAUGCUCCCCAGCCCCAAGAACAAUAAGCCACGGACGGGAAAUGAAAUAUGAAGCAAAGCCAAAACCCUUACUACAGCUUUGUUUUAUUAAGCUCUGUGCUCAUGAGAUACUGUCAGCCACGAUGAAAUGUGACUUUUCUAAACGUUAUCAUUUAAUGACGCAGAGGAUGCAAAAAUGAAACAAGCCACGCCCAGAUGCUGAUGGCAGAACAAGUGGAAGUGGGCAUUAUAGCUACAUUGACGUGAUGACAUUUCCAUACGCAGUGCCGAAAGCUGGCCAGCUCUCAGGGUUCUUUUUAGAGACUUUCAAGGCCAGCUCCUAUGACCACAGAAGUAGAUCACUUAUCUGUCUGUAGGUGAAACUGUCAUCCAAUAACAAUCCAAAACUUCAUCUGAACACACUGAUUUAGUUCUCAUUAUCAUUGACUAAAAACAGUAUGAGGAUGUUAAACAUUGAAGGAUAUAGAAUUAGGAGUCCCAAGAAAGCCUAGGCAGUCCGUAACAGUGUAGCAGUGAAAAUGAAACUCCCUGUGUAAGAACAAGGCCUUUCCACUCCAGACCACGGCACUCUGUCUGCACAGAGGCUCCAAGUGGAAAAGUACUGAACUUGCCCGCUUGAUAGUUCAUCUUCCAAACCACGGUCUAGAACCUGAUGGGGGCCGUUUAUGUGAGAGGCCACAGUGACUAACCCACGUCUGCGUGCCAUCAUAAGGAAUUCUUCUUUCCUCUUCUCCCAUCCAAACAACAGCGAAAAGAAAAUGGGAACAAGUUUCACAAAAAUGUUUGCAUAUUGCUAAAUGUUUUGCUUUAAGAAAUACUUGUCACACCAAAACCCAUG